UACGAAGGGGGCUAGCGUUGCUCGGAAUCACUGGGCGUAAAGCGCACGUAGGCAGAUUGUUAAGUCGGGGGUGAAAUCCUGGAGCUCAACUCCAGAACUGCCUUCGAUACUGGCGAUCUUGAGUCCGGGAGAGGUGAGUGGAACUCCGAGUGUAGAGGUGAAAUUCGUAGAUAUUCGGAAGAACACCAGUGGCGAAGGCGGCUCACUGGCCCGGUACUGACGCUGAGGUGCGAAAGCGUGGGGAGCAAACAGG
rnacentral:rRNA from 1 species